AAACUCCUCUUAAUUUAUCCGGUACCAUUCCUUAAAAACUCUGCUGAGCCGUCCAGCACAACAUAGCAGCGACAAACAACAGCGACAAACAACAAUGAUUCAAGGAAGGGAUGGUGUGAUUUUGUACCAAAUCCACCUCAUAAUCUUAUUCUUUCUUCAAAUUUUGAAUUUUGUACAUUAAAAAAUUCCUAAAUUACCCUCAAGAAUUUCUAUCCUACAUCGCCAACUGAUCAAAAAUUUUGGGAUUUUGGAUUCUAUAUAAACCAUCCUUACUCCACUGUCCAAUGGGGGAUUUUUUUGGAAAUCCCAAAGAUCUAGAAUUCUCUUACUCGGUUAGGAUUUAGACUUUUGUCCCCAUCUUGAAGUUGUGAGAAUUUUGGCUUAGUUUUUAAUUUUUCUUGCUAUUUUCGAGUUGAAGAAAGUGGUGAAGUCUCGUCGUCAACUCAUAGUCUCGACGGUAUCGAUCCGAUGACCUCUAAGCAUUGAUUCUUGUGGUUUCCUCCUGCAUUAGUAUCCCUGGAGAUUCAAGAUGGCGAGGACUCAUAUAUUUCAGGAUAGUGGUCAUGAGCCCCCGCCAGCCUCAGUUUCGAUCAUCCAAGAUGGGUUCACGGAUGGGGUAGGAGAUGUGGUAGGGGCAACGGUUGUGGUAGAGAGAGAGCUCAAGGAGCCGCUCAUAUUCCUGAUAGGGCGGGGUCUCUCGAGGUUGAGUUCAAGGCGGGUGAUGAUGAUGUUCAGGUUCUAGUUGAUGGUGUGGGCCCAGGUCAGGCACCACCAGGGUUUGUUGCUACAUCAAUUCUUCAGGAUACAUUGAUUAAAGUGUUGGUUGUUUUGGAGACUAUAGCUCAGAGAGGCAGAUCAUUUGGCACUCCACAGAGUUCACAUAUUAGGGUGGGGGCGCAAACCCUAAAUCAGCAACCUAUCCUAGGGUUGCCUAUCGGUUGGAUCGAUUGGAUAAUUAUGCUUAGGUUUUGGCUUAUUGGUUAUCGGUUUUUAAGUAUACUAAUCCGCUAGAAACCCAAUAAGAUAACAGUUGGUUCGGUAUCGGAUUAGCAAUUAACGGAUUGUUAUCGGAUGGUGUAAUGGAUAAAUUUAAGAGAGAAUGAAAUAUCGAGCGAUUAUUAGUAA